UUGUUGGGAAAUUUCCACUUGGAAAGAUGUUUUUACAGUUGAACGUGAAGUUUGUGGAAAAAUCAAAACUUCCUAGAGGAAAAUUGUGACAGCAAAACACUGGAAAACAACUUCUCGUUUUUCUAGAGCUGCUUCCUGGCUCAAGGAGCAGUCGUUAAAGGCACUGUUUUCCGACAAAUACAGUUAACCAUACACUGCUGCUUAAAGAGUUAAGACAAUUCUGGUUGCAACAGUCAAAUGUUAAGGUCAUAGCUUUCAACAAACCACAAGUGUCUAUGUAUAUAUAUGGCGGUGAAUAUAUAGAAUAAUGAAAAGAAAGAGAAGUCCAGAUAAGAGCAUUCUUUGAACACAGAGGUAAGUGUAAAUUUUAGAUGAAGUCAUAUUCUUACUCAAAAUGUAU